GAGAGGGAAUCCCAGCUUGGAACUUGAGACUUUCCAGCUGAGAAGGAAAGAUUCAGAGAUGCAGACGUAAUCACACAACGCUACAAUCAACUCCCGUGUCAAAAGAAGUCAGGAAAAGCACAUAAAUAACUCCACAGCCACAUUUAAUAUAGGGCAGGACAUAUAUCAAUAAUGCCACCACUUCCUCCCGGGUGGCCGAUUGAUUCCCUGCACCAAUUCCACCCUGACUGAAGUCCUGUCCAGGAAUCCUGAACCAGGAAAAGCACUGCUGUGUUCGGGUGAACAAAGCGUGAAGACGUACUGGUUUCUGGCAGCAGAGGACCGAACAGGAUCGCGAUGUGAGAUGUCACAUGAAUUAGCGCCACACGGAGACAUGUCCAAAAUUGUACGGCUGCCCAUCAGAAUGCAGAAUAUGUCCAGCAACAAUUGCUGAGGAACAGCACAAGACUGCAGCUCUUCAAUCCCUUCCUUUGCUAUUUAAACCCCGCACAGGAAAACGCAGCCCUUCCGCCCAGCCGAUUGAUAAUGAGACGGUGAUGCGAUUGUGCUUCCGCGGGUUAGGUAUUAGUCAUGGGAACCCCUAAGAUAAACACAGCUUGGCUUCUGCUGUCACUGACCCGCUGCCUUUUGUAAACUCCAACGGCUUGCAGCAAGAAACGCGGUGUGGUUUUCCUUUCCCCGGGCAGCGUGAUCGUUCGUGUGUCUCUGAGAGACAAGGAGUUAAUGAAGUGCUGCCUCCCCCCCUCCACGUCCUGAGUUCAUCUGUUUUUUAAAAAAAGAGAGAGAUGUGGAGAAAGAUCUGCUCAUCUGCUGUACAGAGAAGUUGCCUUUGAUGUGAAUUUUUCAUUGGUUGUUGGAGUGGGGCUUUUUUUAGUCCCUUUCCUCUUACCUACCGUCUCUGGAGCGCGCUUACGAAACUGCAUUCCCCUGCUGGCUCCUACUAGGCACAGCUUAAUGUGCACUUGCAAAAGUUUUUGCAGUCACACCCGCCUAGCAUCUAUGUGGGAAGCUACCCCGUCCCCAGCUGAAUUUUCCUCUGGGGAACGGGACAUUCUGGGCACUACCAGGCCUUUGGGAACUCUGUCAGGGUCUCCGCAUCUAACUGCUCCACGUGUAGAAGACAACUGGACUUGUAGGACAGUACGAGCAAAUGGUUCGCUAGUGGCAUGUCACCUCUCCUGGCACCAAUCAGCUGCAGUGUCACAGCUGUGCAGAUGGCCCGCAUUCUGCUGAUGUUUGCGGGCGUUGGUUUGGUUUGGUUUUCCUUUUUUUUGCCAUGACAAAGAAAAUGGAUCCUGCCACUUUAAGACAGGAGUCACUUUAAGUGACUUUCCAUUUGCCUCGUAUGGAGAGCUGAGAAUUGUGGUUUCCUAUAUUUCCUUUGAAUUGUGUGCAGUAGUUAGAGUGAGCUUAAAAAAAACACAACUACUGUACGUUUUGGACGCUUUUCCUUCUGCAGCAAGGGACAGACGAGAGAGGCAGGGAGAGGCAUCUUGCAAAUCGUUGGAGGAAUGAAGAAAUGGGGAAGGUUUUUUAUUUUUCCGUUACCACGUUAGUUUGGCUCCUUCCCACCUCCCCUCCUUUUCUCUGUGUGGAGUCUCCAUAUGAUGAAUUGUGUAAGAAAUCAUGUACAAUGCCAGAUAGGCUUUUCCUCAGUACAGUGCGUCCUAUUAUGAAUUGGCAUCCGGCUGCGGCUGUCGGCGUGAAUGUGCGUCGAUCUCCGCCGUACCGCUGAAAUAGACCAGGGGGGUUUUGAGAGAGGUGGAUUCUGUGCAUCUUGUGUCAGCCACAAGUCUGCCGUGCUUGCGUGAGCAGCUGUGACACGAUUCCAAGGUGCGGAACGGAUGGCAUUACAAGCACACGCCAGCUUCUGGGGCGGGGGGAGGGGGCAGGUGUCCCCACAUUACAUUUCACUCUCUUUGCACAAUGUUCACUCUGAAAAUCCAGGCAGCAGCCUGGAGGCGGGUGGAGGGAACGUUUCUGUUUCCUCAAUUAACUGGGACUUGCCUUCUUUUGACAAGCGGAAGGCAGCGCGUUUUAGACUCUGGAUUCGUGGAGUUGUCUCAAAGUGCCAAGUCUAGUUAUACAGGGACUUUUGAGUGCCAGGUGGAGGAAUCUGAGUCACUCUCGGCUACUUAACUCCUUAGAGGCUGAACAGGUUUAGGGUACGUCUACACUACGGAGAAGAUCGACCCUCUGGAGGUUGAUCUUCUAGUGUUUGAUGUAGCGGGUCUAGUGUAGGCCCCCAAACUGGACGCCGAAGGCAGCCCCCACCGGCGUCCUGUAAUCCUCAUUCUGCGUGUGCUCCUGUCGGCCUCCCUCAGUGUAGACGCCAUGGCUCGGCUUAGGGUAAGCUGUUCCUUAAUCCGACCUGCCUACUCUAAUGUAGACCUAGGCUCAGAGUCUGUUACCUAGUCACUAGAGUUAAAACACCAGUGCGGCCCAGCAUGAAGCUGUUGGCAACUUAGAGAAAAAUUCACCUGCAAUUCUCACCUCAUUCCUUGUGGGUACCAGGAUCGCGUUGGUCUUUACCUGUCCAGGUCCUGAAUACAUGACCGACUGGCCCCAGACUGUACAGUGGGCAUGGAAGAAUUUUCCAAAGCCAGGAAUAACUGCCACUGUGGUUAAUAAUAUCGGCGAGUCAAAUAUUAACAUUCUGACUCAUGCACGAAUUCCCAGGCACUUCAAUGGGAGUAUUGAAUGAGGAAAUGGUAUGGGCUCAAGUAUUUUGCCCAGUAAUAAUAUAUGAUAUGAAGGUAGUUCCUUUUGUUGCAAAGGGUUGCACAGCAAUCUACAAACAGCAUAGCCAGGAGUCACUUUUCCUGCCCUUAAAAAAAUGUCCCCUCUGGGGUGGAACACGACAGCUGCCCAAUAGGGUGGGAGAAAGAGCGAAAGAGGACACUGUAACCCUUUGCAGUUGCUGGAAAAAAGCCCGCAGGCAAAAGGAAGUUCUUUCUAGAGUCCUUUGGCCAGGACACUGGGGUUAACAGCUUUCCUUGCAUGAGAAACGACCUGAGAUUUUAAAAAAAUCCAAAGUAGCCAAAAUGUCUGUUCUUUGUCCAAGGAAGGCACCAACCUGGUGGGACACCAGGUGAGUUUUGACUCAGCUGGGCUAAGGAGCAUGAUUAAAUAAGAGAUUUUGUUUGAAACAACCCCAAAGAUGGCACUGGAAUCAAAAGGCUUAUUUCUCAUUUACAUGAGAGCCCCACUUGGACAGUAUAAAGGAAUCUGAAUAUGAGUGCAAAUUGGAUUUCCUUGAAGGCCUUCUUAUGCUGCAAGGAAAUGAGAAUUAGGCCCAAAGUUUUCAGCACAGAAAGUUACCGCAUCCACUUGGAGCUGGCUGGAAUCACGUUUACACAAAGGUUACGUUAGACCACGUGUGCAGUGUGAAGAGGCCUUUAAAAGGAGGGAAGUGGGUGUGGCCCACGAAAGCUUAUCACCUAUUAAACCAUCUUGUCAGUCUUUCAAGUGCUACAUAGUUUUUCCUUUUGUUUUUACAUAUCGGGUAUAGUACCUUCACAUUGCCAGAGUGCAGUAAAGGGACCUGUGUGUACACGUUCGGUUCGGUUGGUGGGCGUUCGUUCUGCAGAAGACUUCUCAGACGUGCAGCUAGCUUUUUUUUUUUUUUUUUUUAAAUAACUGUGGAACCCAGAAUGAAUGUUAGUUAUGCCAAUGUAAGUGCAGGUUGCACCUCUAAAAUCCAGAAUUCUCUGGUCCGGCAACAUCCGUGGUCCAGCAUGACCUCCGAUGUUCCAGGGCCAGAAAGACCCAGCGCACUGCAGGGGGGUGGGGACCUGGGAGCUGGCGUACAGCUCAGCAGGGCUGCGGGGGGA